rnacentral:rRNA from 1 species
UGGGGAAUAUUGCGCAAUGGAGGAAACUCUGACGCAGCAACGCCGCGUGAAGGAAGAAGGUCUUCGGAUUGUAAACUUCAGACGCUGAUGAAGAAAAAAAUGACGGUAAUCAGGCCGAAGCCCCGGCUAACUACGUGCCAGCAGCCGCGGUAAUACGUAGGGGGCAAGCGUUAUCCGGAAUUACUGGGCGUAAAGGGUGAGUAGGCGGUUAGGUAAGUCAUAUGUGAAAGGUUGGGGCUCAACCCCAAGAUUGCAUAAGAAACUAUCUGACUAGAGUACGGGAGAGGUAAGCGGAAUUCCUAGUGUAGCGGUGAAAUGCGUAGAUAUUAGGAAGAACACCGGUGGCGAAGGCGGCUUACUGGACCGAAACUGACGCUGAGGCACGAAAGCGUGGGGAGCGAACA